AUUGAACGCUGGCGGCAUGCUUUACACAUGCAAGUCGAACGGUAACAGGCCGCAAGGUGCUGACGAGUGGCGAACGGGUGAGUAAUGCAUCGGAACGUGCCCAGUCGUGGGGGAUAACGCAGCGAAAGCUGUGCUAAUACCGCAUACGAUCUAUGGAUGAAAGCGGGGGACCGUAAGGCCUCGCGCGAUUGGAGCGGCCGAUGUCAGAUUAGGUAGUUGGUGGGGUAAAGGCUCACUAAGCCAACGAUCUGUAGCUGGUCUGAGAGGAGGGCCAGCCACACUGGAAAUGAGACGCGGCCCAGACUCCUACGGGAGGCAGCAGUGGGGAAUUUUGGACAAUGGGCGGAAGCCUGAUCCAGCAAUGCCGCGUGCAUGAAGAAGGCCUUCGGGUUGUAAACUGCUUUUGUACGGAACGAAACGGUCCGGGUUAAUACCCUGGGCUAAUGACGGUACCGUAAGAAUAAGCACCGGCUAACUACGUGCCAGCCGCCGCCGUAA
rnacentral:rRNA from 1 species